GGGUCAGUAGGUUGGUCGUGCCACCGGUACGUACUGGUCUCACUGAUUCCUCCUUCCUGAAGAACCGUAAUGCCAUUAAUUUGGUGUUGCGGGGAAACAGGACUGUUGCUUUGAAAAAAUUAGAGUGUUUAAAGCAAGCUAACGCUUGAAUACAUUAGCAUGGAAUAAUGAAAUAGGACGAUCGAUCCUAUUUUGUUGGUUUCUAGGAUUGACGCA
rnacentral:rRNA from 1 species